rnacentral:lncRNA from 1 species
GGGGAAGGAUUUUAGGCCUGUUUAGGAGAUCUAAACCUAAUCUAAUUAGGUUUAAGCCCUUUAAAAGAGUCUGAUACUGUGAACAGUGUGCGGCAUGGUCUGUGUGAUUUUUUGUUCGUGAACAGAGACCCACAGUGGUUCGAUUCUUCAUGAGAUCGCACGCAAAAAAUGAAAAUCAGGAAUCCAAAAGAGAAGAGAGAGAGCUAUACGCUGGGAGAGAAGGAGCAGGACUUCUAAACAGUGGACGCCGGUUGCUUCAAGGGUUCAGGAGGAUCUUCCAAGAGAGAGAGCUUUUGUGAGAAAAAACUUCAAGAGAGAGAAAUUGGGUGUAUAAGGGUUGAGGGAGAGACCUCCUCUUGUAAAAUUUCUUUUUCACAGUGAAGUUUGCAUGCCUCGUGAAGGCGAGUCCUUUUGUGGCUGAUCUACGUAUUUUGAUUAUUUUUAUUUUAUUUUUUCUUUCUUCCUGCAUCACGUGAUACUGAAAAGAUCCUGAAAAGUGAUAUCCUAGACAGACAUCCACCCAACAGAUCAAAUCUGUUUCUUUUACCGCGCUUGUUGCUUAGAAGGUAACGACCACCUCUCUGGCUCUUUUUCCGGACAAUGUUUCACCAAUCGAUGGUAUCGC